rnacentral:rRNA from 1 species
GCUCAGGAUGAACGCUGGCGGCGUGCCUAAUACAUGCAAGUCGAACGAACUUCCGUUAAUUGAUUAUGACGUACUUGUACUGAUUGAGAUUUUAACACGAAGUGAGUGGCGAACGGGUGAGUAACACGUGGGUAACCUGCCCAGAAGUAGGGGAUAACACCUGGAAACAGAUGCUAAUACCGUAUAACAGAGAAAACCGCAUGGUUUUCUUUUAAAAGAUGGCUCUGCUAUCACUUCUGGAUGGACCCGCGGCGUAUUAGCUAGUUGGUGAGGUAAAGGCUCACCAAGGCAGUGAUACGUAGCCGACCUGAGAGGGUAAUCGGCCACAUUGGGACUGAGACACGGCCCAGACUCCUACGGGAGGCAGCAGUAGGGAAUCUUCCACAAUGGACGCAAGUCUGAUGGAGCAACGCCGCGUGAGUGAAGAAGGGUUUCGGCUCGUAAAGCUCUGUUGUUAAAGAAGAACGUGGGUAAGAGUAACUGUUUACCCAGUGACGGUAUUUAACCAGAAAGCCACGGCUAACUACGUGCCAGCAGCCGCGGUAAUACGUAGGUGGCAAGCGUUAUCCGGAUUUAUUGGGCGUAAAGCGAGCGCAGGCGGUCUUUUAAGUCUAAUGUGAAAGCCUUCGGCUCAACCGAAGAAGUGCAUUGGAAACUGGGAGACUUGAGUGCAGAAGAGGACAGUGGAACUCCAUGUGUAGCGGUGAAAUGCGUAGAUAUAUGGAAGAACACCAGUGGCGAAGGCGGCUGUCUGGUCUGCAACUGACGCUGAGGCUCGAAAGCAUGGGUAGCGAACAGGAUUAGAUACCCUGGUAGUCCAUGCCGUAAACGAUGAUUACUAAGUGUUGGAGGGUUUCCGCCCUUCAGUGCUGCAGCUAACGCAUUAAGUAAUCCGCCUGGGGAGUACGACCGCAAGGUUGAAACUCAAAAGAAUUGACGGGGGCCCGCACAAGCGGUGGAGCAUGUGGUUUAAUUCGAAGCUACGCGAAGAACCUUACCAGGUCUUGACAUCUUCUGACAGUCUAAGAGAUUAGAGGUUCCCUUCGGGGACAGAAUGACAGGUGGUGCAUGGUUGUCGUCAGCUCGUGUCGUGAGAUGUUGGGUUAAGUCCCGCAACGAGCGCAACCCUUAUUACUAGUUGCCAGCAUUAAGUUGGGCACUCUAGUGAGACUGCCGGUGACAAACCGGAGGAAGGUGGGGACGACGUCAAAUCAUCAUGCCCCUUAUGACCUGGGCUACACACGUGCUACAAUGGAUGGUACAACGAGUCGCGAGACCGCGAGGUUAAGCCUAAUCUCUUAAAACCAUUCUCAGUUCGGACUGUAGGCUGCAACUCGCCUACACGAAGUCGGAAUCGCUAGUAAUCGCGGAUCAGCAUGCCGCGUGAAUACGUUCCCGGGUCUUGUACACACGCCCGUCACACCAUGAGAGUUUGUA